GACGAACGCUGGCGGCGUGCUUAACACAUGCAAGUAGAACGGAAAGGCCCUGGUUUGGUGGGGUGCUCGAGUGGCGAACGGGUGAGUAACACGUGAGUAACCUGCCCUUGACUUUGGGAUAACUUCAGGAAACUGGGGCUAAUACCGGAUAGGAGCUCCUGCUGCAUGGUGGGGGUUGGAAAGUUUCGGCGGUUGGGGAUGGACUCGCGGCUUAUCAGCUUGUUGGUGGGGUAGUGGCUUACCAAGGCUUUGACGGGUAGCCGGCCUGAGAGGGUGACCGGCCACAUUGGGACUGAGAUACGGCCCAUACUCCUACGGGAGGCAGCAGUGGGGAAUAUUGCACAAUGGGCGGAAGCCUUAUGCAGCAACUCCGCGUGCGGGAUGACUGCCUUCGGGUUGUAAACCGCUUGCGCCUGUGACGAAGCGUGAGUGACGGUAAUGUGUAAAGAAGCACCGGCUAACUACGUG
rnacentral:rRNA from 1 species